GACGAACGCUGGCGGCGUGCUUAACACAUGCAAGUCGAACGGAAAGGCCCUGCUUUUGUGGGGUGCUCAAGUGGCGAACGGGUGAGUAACACGUGAGUAACCUGCCCUUGACUUUGGGAUAACUUCAGGAAACUGGGGCUAAUACCGGCUAGGAGCUCCUGCUGCAUGGUGGGGGUUGGAAAGUUUCGGCGGUUGGGGAUGGACUCGCGGCUUAUCAGCUUGUUGGUGGGGUAGUGGCUUACCAAGGCUUUGACGGGUAGCCGGCCUGAGAGGGUGACCGGCCACAUUGGGACUGAGAUACGGCCCAGACUCCUCCGGGAGGCAGCAGUGGGGAAUAUUGCACAAUGGGCGGAAGCCUGAUGCAGCAACGCCGCGUGCGGGAUGACGGCCUUCGGGUUGUAAACCGCUUUCGCCUGUGACGAAGCGUGAGUGACGGUAAUGGGUAAAGAAGCACCGGCUAACUACGUG
rnacentral:rRNA from 1 species